rnacentral:rRNA from 1 species
UACGUAGGGACCAAGCGUUGUUCGGAUUUAUUGGGCGUAAAGGGCGCGUAGGCGGCCACGCACGUCCGUUGUGAAAUCGCCCGGCUCAACUGGGCGGGGUCAGCGGAUACGGUGUGGCUCGAGCAAGCUAGGGGGCAAUGGAAUUCCCGGUGUAGUGGUGGAAUGCGUAGAUAUCGGGAAGAACACCCGUGGCGAAGGCGGCACUCUGGGACGGUACUGGACGCUGAGACGCGAAAGCGUGGGGAGCGAACAGG